AGAUGUGAAAUCCCCCGGGCUUAACCUGGGAACUGCGUUUGUGACUGCAAGCUAGAGUACGGCGAGAGGGGGGUGGAAUUCCUGGUGUAGCAGUGAAAUGCGUAGAGAUCGAGGAGGAACACCGAUGGCGAAGGCAGCCCCCUGGGGCCUGUACUGACGCUCAUGCACGAAAGCGUGGGAGCAAACAGGAUUAGAUACCCUGGUAGUCCACGCCCUAAACGAUGUCGACUAGUCGUUCGGAGCAGCAAUGCACUGAGUGACGCAGCUAACGCGUGAAGUCGACCGCCUGGGGAGUACGGCCGCAAGGUUAAAACUCAAAGGAAUUGACGGGGACCCGCACAAGCGGUGGAUGAUGUGGAUUAAUUCGAUGCAACGCGAAAAACCUUACCUACCCUUGACAUGUCUGGAACCUUGCUGAGAGGCGAGGGUGCCUUCGGGAGCCAGAACACAGGUGCUGCAUGGCUGUCGUCAGCUCGUGUCGUG
rnacentral:rRNA from 1 species